GAUGAACGCUGGCGGCGUGCCUAAUACAUGCAAGUCGAGCGAACAGACGAGGAGCUUUCUCCUCUGACGUUAGCGGCGGACGGGUGAUUAACACGUGGAUAACCUACCUAUAAGACUGGGAUAACUUCGGGAAACCGGAGCUAAUACCGGAUAAUAUAUUGAACCGCAUGGUUCAAUAGUGAAAGACGGUUUUGCUGUCACUUAUAGAUGGAUCCGCGCCGCAUUAGCUAGUUGGUAAGGUAACGGCUUACCAAGGCAACGAUGCGUAGCCGACCUGAGAGGGUGAUCGGCCACACUGGAACUGAGACACGGUCCAGACUCCUACGGGAGGCAGCAGUAGGGAAUCUUCCGCAAUGGGCGAAAGCCUGACGGAGCAACGCCGCGUGAGUGAUGAAGGUCUUCGGAUCGUAAAACUCUGUUAUUAGGGAAGAACAAAUGUGUAAGUAACUAUGCACGUCUUGACGGUACCUAAUCAGAAAGCCACGGCUAACUACGUG
rnacentral:rRNA from 1 species